UCCAAAAUGGCAGCUCUGUUGGUUGGAUCAAUUCAGUCAAUGAAUGGACUGGUUUGAGACAAUCAAAAUGAUUAUGAGCAAGACCUGGACUCUGAGAGCAUCAAGUCAGCAUUGCCCCUGCUCCCAUCCAAAGGCAGGGUUAUCUCCCCUCUGAUUGAAUCUGGGCUGGCCUCAGAAUAGAACACAGCAGAAGUUAGGCUGGUCAGCUUCCAGCCCUUGG